CACAUGCAGUCGAACGGGAUCCAGGCAGCUUGCUGUCUGGUGAGAGUGGCGAACGGGUGAGUAAUGCGUGACCAACCUGCCCCAUACUCCGGAAUAGCUCCUGGAAACGGGUGGUAAUGCCGGGUGUUCCGCAUCAUCGCAUGAUGGUGUGGGAAAGGGUUUACCGGUAUGGGAUGGGGUCGCGUCCUAUCAGCUUGUUGGUGGGGUGAUGGCCUACCAAGGCUUCGACGGGUAGCCGGCCUGAGAGGGCGACCGGCCACAUUGGGACUGAGAUACGGCCCAGACUCCUACGGGAGGCAGCAGUGGGGAAUAUUGCACAAUGGGCGAAAGCCUGAUGCAGCGACGCCGCGUGCGGGAUGACGGCCUUCGGGUUGUAAACCGCUUUUGAUUGGGAGCAAGCGAGAGUGAGUGUACCUUUCGAAUAAGCACCGGCUAACUACGUGCCAGCAGCCGCGGUAAUACGUAGGGUGCAAGCGUUAUCCGGAAUUAUUGGGCGUAAAGAGCUCGUAGGCGGUUCGUCGCGUCUGGUGUGAAAGUCCAUCGCUUAACGGUGGAUCUGCGCCGGGUACGGGCGGACUGGAGUGCGGUAGGGGAGACUGGAAUUCCCGGUGUAACGGUGGAAUGUGUAGAUAUCGGGAAGAACACCAAUGGCGAAGGCAGGUCUCUGGGCCGUUACUGACGCUGAGGAGCGAAAGCGUGGGGAGCGAACAGGAUUAGAUACCCUGGUAGUCCACGCCGUAAACGGUGGAUGCUGGAUGUGGGGCCCGUUCCACGGGUUCCGUGUCGGAGCUAACGCGUUAAGCAUCCCGCCUGGGGAGUACGGCCGCAAGGCUAAAACUCAAAGAAAUUGACGGGGGCCCGCACAAGCGGCGGAGCAUGCGGAUUAAUUCGAUGCAACGCGAAGAACCUUACCUGGGCUUGACAUGUGCCGGACGACCGCGGAGACGUGGUUUCCCUUCGGGGCCGGUUCACA
rnacentral:rRNA from 1 species